AGAACGAACGCUGGCGGCAGGCUUAACACAUGCAAGUCGAACGCUCGUAGCAAUACGGGAGUGGCAGACGGGUGAGUAACGCGUGGGAACAUACCCUCCGGUUCGGAAUAGCUCAGGGAAACUUGGAUUAAUACCGGAUACGGCCGAGAGGCGAAAGAUUUAUCGCCGGAGGAUUGGCCCGCGUUCGAUUAGCUAGUUGGUGAGGUAACGGCUCACCAAGGCGAUGAUCGAUAGCUGGUCUGAGAGGAUGAUCAGCCACAUUGGGACUGAGACACGGCCCAAACUCCUACGGGAGGCAGCAGUGGGGAAUAUUGGACAAUGGGCGCAAGCCUGAUCCAGCCAUGCCGCGUGAGUGAUGACGGCCUUAGGGUUGUAAAGCUCUUUCGCUCGGGACGAUAAUGACGGUACCGAGAUAAGAAGCCCGGCUAACUUCGUGCCAGCAGCCGC
rnacentral:rRNA from 1 species